UGAAUGUGUUACUGUUUUGUUUAUCGGUAAUCAUCUUGUAUCACUGCUAUCGGAUCAUAUUUCUGUGUCUUUUCGCAUUGCUACAGACCAUUGAUGGCAUACUUCAAACCAUUGGGCGUCGCAAUUACACAGUGCAGAUCAGGCGGCUGGAAGACGAACUUCGAGUUGAAACCCAGGUUGACGCCUUACUUCAGAUAAGCCACGUCAUCACAUCUCGCCGUGGUCAAGGCGCAUGUCAUGCAAGAGAAACCGUUAAAGACUUCGCUAAGGGAACGGAAGUUUUUGCUGAUGGCCGCGACUGCUUUGUGCGAUUUUUCAAUGCUAGCGAAGAAGACUACGACCAGCAAAUUCUUCUUUUCCAAGCCUUAAAGGGACUGCCCAUGAUCCAAGCGACCGAGCCUGUCACGAUGCAUGCUGUACAGCAUCUUCAGUUCUCUCGAGACUUGUACGACCUCGUCGGACGGAAGGUGGCAGAGAGGUGCCAUCGUCGCAGGCUCUUCUGGCUAUUUCCUACCACGCGCUCGUUUGCCAAACACUUGGCGUCCUGUAAAUGCUUCGACACAUUUUACGCCCGAUUUAGUGUUUGCAAAGAAAAAAAGCAUCAACCAAAGAAAUAGCUCGGGAAAUAUACAGCGAAAAGAUG